rnacentral:rRNA from 1 species
AGAGUUUGAUCAUGGCUCAGAACGAACGCUGGCGGCGUGCCUAACACAUGCGAGUCGAGCGAGAAAGUCUCCGCAAGGGGGCAAGUAAAGCGGCGCACGGGUGCGUAACACGUGGGUAAUCUGCCCUUGAGUCCAGAACAACCUUCCGAAAGGAGGGCUAAUACUGGAUAUGACCACGAGGACUUCGGUCCUUGCGGUGAAAAGAUGGCCUCUGCAUGCAAGCUAUCACUCAUCGAGGAGCCCGCGGCCCAUCAGCUAGUUGGCGGGGUAACGGCCCACCAAGGCUACGACGGGUAGCUGGUCUGAGAGGACGAUCAGCCACACUGGAACUGAGACACGGUCCAGACUCCUACGGGAGGCAGCAGUGGGGAAUUUUGCGCAAUGGGCGAAAGCCUGACGCAGCAACGCCGCGUGAGUGAUGAAGGUCUUCGGAUCGUAAAGCUCUUUCGGCCGGGACGAAAACGUCGGAAUGAAUAAGUCCGGCCUUGACGGUACCGGAAGAAGAAGCACCGGCUAACUCUGUGCCAGCAGCCGCGGUAAUACAGAGGGUGCGAGCGUUGUUCGGAAUUAUUGGGCGUAAAGCGCGUGUAGGCGGUGUUGCAUGUCGGGUGUGAAAGCCCUCGGCUUAACCGAGGAAGUGCGCCCGAAACUGCAGCGCUGGAGUGCCGGAGAGGGUGGCGGAAUUCCGGGUGUAGAGGUGAAAUUCGUAGAUAUCCGGAGGAACACCAGUGGCGAAGGCGGCCACCUGGACGGACACUGACGCUGAGACGCGAAAGCGUGGGGAUCAAACAGGAUUAGAUACCCUGGUAGUCCACGCUGUAAACGAU